UUAUAGCCACUACAAUACAUCAUCAUUUAUUUAGGUAAUUAUAAGGUUCUUUAAACAUUGAAACAUCUAGAGAAAUCUUGAUUAACUCUAGAAAUUCCAAACAUCACAACUCUAGAACUUCUAUCCUUUCUUAUCCCUGAUUUAUGACUCUUUCUUGUAACUGAAAUUUGGGUUAACCUUCCAACAGCUAACAUAUGCCUCUAUUCCAUUACCCUCUUUGGUGUCCCUGAAAACCACUAAGUUAUUGUAAACCAGUGCCGGUGACCCACCCACGUAGGCCUCCCCCAACCAAAAUCAUUCUCAUAGAGUGGAAACCCACAAUGACUACUGAAGCCAAAUAACGUAG
rnacentral:lncRNA from 1 species